GGAGCCCAGGGCCAGGCUGCUUGGGGCCCAGGAUCGCUGCUGGACACAGCCCUCUGUGUAUCCUGUCACAUCCUGGGAAGUCAGCAGGUGGGAACAUCCAGGAAAAAAUAGAACCCGUGAAGCUGUCUUCCCAGCAGGCUUGUUUGCCGGGCGCUGGCACUGGGCCCUCUCCGGGCCAGGUGUGAGGGUAGGGAGAGAAGCCAGGCCCAGGCCUUACCCUCAAAGGGUUUACAGUCUAGAAGAGUGCACAGAUGUGGAAACACCUCAAUGUGUCUUCAUGAGAAAACUGAAAAAAGGAAGGAAGUGAGGGUGGCCAAAGGAGUGUGAGCAGAAGCCAUGCGUCUCUCCUCUGGGCUGAGGACAUUAAGAAACACACGUGGCUCGUCUACCUCUCUUUCCCCUGCUGCCGUGAUCACGUGGCCUAGGAGAUGGUGGAGUCCUGGGGACAGAAGGAGCUGGAGUGCCUGGAUCUCCCCUUGGAGUCAGGCUGCCUGCCAGUCAGAGUACCCACCUUGGACUUCAUGCCUCCAGGGAUGACUGAGCCGCUGAUGAGUGAACGCUUUCUGCUCCGGAGAUCUGCGUGCUGCUGUGGAAGGCAGCCUGGCAAUGCAGGAAGGCUCUUCCCAUGAUCUUUCUGGAAGCCUGGAUCCAACAGCGUGUGACU